AACGAACGCUGGCGGCAGGCUUAACACAUGCAAGUCGAACGCCCCGCAAGGGGAGUGGCAGACGGGUGAGUAACGCGUGGGAAUCUACCCAGAUCUUCGGAACAACUGAGGGAAACUUCAGCUAAUACCGGAUACGCCCUACGGGGGAAAGAUUUAGCGGAUUUGGAUGAGCCCGCGUUGGAUUAGCUAGUUGGUGGGGUAAUGGCCUACCAAGGCGACGAUCCAUAGCUGGUCUGAGAGGAUGAUCAGCCACACUGGGACUGAGACACGGCCAAGACUCCUACGGGAGGAAGCAGUGGGUAAUAUUGGACAUUGAGCCAAAGCCUAGUCCGGCCAUGCGGCGUGAGUAAUGAAGGCCUAAGGUUUGUAACGCUCUUUCAGUAGGGAAGAUAAUACCGUAACCUACGGAAGGGGCCCGGCUAACUUCGUGCCAGCCGCCGCCGUAAUAC
rnacentral:rRNA from 1 species